rnacentral:rRNA from 2 species
GUCGAACGGUAGCACAGAGAGCUUGCUCUCGGGUGACGAGUGGCGGACGGGUGAGUAAUGUCUGGGAAACUGCCUGAUGGAGGGGGAUAACUACUGGAAACGGUAGCUAAUACCGCAUAACGUCGCAAGACCAAAGAGGGGGACCUUCGGGCCUCUUGCCAUCAGAUGUGCCCAGAUGGGAUUAGCUAGUAGGUGGGGUAACGGCUCACCUAGGCGACGAUCCCUAGCUGGUCUGAGAGGAUGACCAGCCACACUGGAACUGAGACACGGUCCAGACUCCUACGGGAGGCAGCAGUGGGGAAUAUUGCACAAUGGGCGCAAGCCUGAUGCAGCCAUGCCGCGUGUAUGAAGAAGGCCUUCGGGUUGUAAAGUACUUUCAGCGGGGAGGAAGGUGUUGUGGUUAAUAACCACAGCAAUUGACGUUACCCGCAGAAGAAGCACCGGCUAACUCCGUGCCAGCAGCCGCGGUAAUACGGAGGGUGCAAGCGUUAAUCGGAAUUACUGGGCGUAAAGCGCACGCAGGCGGUCUGUCAAGUCGGAUGUGAAAUCCCCGGGCUCAACCUGGGAACUGC